rnacentral:lncRNA from 1 species
UGUCACUAUGUUGCCCAGGCUGCUCUAGAACUCCUGGGCUCAAGUGAUCCUCCUGCCUCUGCCUUCCAAAGUGUUGGGAUUACAGGCAUGAACCACCAUGGCUAGUUUAAAUGGUUUUUCAGGGUCACAUAUCUCGGAAGAUAUGUGGGAUGUAAACCCAGCAGCCUGGCCCCAGAGCCCAUGGUCUUCAUGGCAGCAGCAUGUGUGCCGCCUCUCAUGUGUACAAGUGAAUGAAGAAUGAAAGAGAGUUGCACUCUCACCAAUGACCAGCUGCCUUCUGG